rnacentral:rRNA from 1 species
AGUGAACGCUGGCGGCAGGCCUAACACAUGCAAGUCGAACGGCAGCACAGUAAGAGCUGGCUCUUACGGGUGGCGAGUGGCGGACGGGUGAGGAAUACAUCGGAAUCUACUUUUACGUGGGGGGUAACGUAGGGAUACUUACGCUAAUACAGCAUAGGACCUACGGGUGAAAGCAGGAGCUCUUCGGACCUUGGGUGAUCGAAUGAGCCGAUGUCGGAUUAGCUAGUUGGCGGGGUAAAGGCCCACCAAGGCGACGAUCCGUAGCUGGGCUGACCGGACGAUCAGCCACACUGGAACUGAGACACGGUCCAGACUCCUACGGGAGGCAGCAGUGGGGAAUAUUGGACAAUGGGCGCAAGCCUGAUCCAGCCAUGCCGCGUGGGUGAAGAAGGCCUUCGGGUUGUAAAGCCCUUUUGUUGUGAAAGAAAAGCAGCAGGUGAAUACCACGCUGUGCUGACGGUACCCAAAGAAUAAGCACCGGCUAACUUCGUG